rnacentral:lncRNA from 1 species
CUGAUCAGGUAUCAACGGUACUCUAUCUAUGCAUCCGCUCACUCACAAAUCCAUACCAUAGUCAACCAUGGACAUCUUGUAACUCUGAGAAGAAAAAGAAAAUGAAGGGGUGUGAGCUUUACAGCCCAGUAAGAAUUCCCAUAUCACACCAAUAUAAUAAUAUAAUCUGAAAAUAAAGAUAAGCAAUAACACAUAAAAGUCGAUGUUCACUGUCCAGAA